CGAUAAAUAUGUGGACGAGUCCGACUUACAUGAGCCUCUCUGGACAGCUGUAGCGGGAGCUCAUCUCCAUCCAUUGGUCUGGAAGAGGAACCUACAGCUCUCUUCCUCUUUCGUGGGGUUGUAGCUUUGGUACCCUCUCGUCUCCUUCCGCUAUCUACGGCAGCUCUCUUCUUGGUUCAGCGCCUCCAGCAGCAUCUCAAAGAGGAGGCGGCGAUUCGCUUGGCGGCUCUUCUUCCUCAUCUCCAGCUUCCCCUUUCGAAGAUCUGACUGGGUAUUUUAGCUGUUCUUCCUCUCGAAUUCAUUUUCUACUUUCCGGCAGUAUUUUCACACUGUUGAUGGCGGUGAUGUUGUUCCUCGCGCUGGAGCUUUGCUGGUCGGCCGGAAAUCUUGCCAGGCCGAAGCUCGAAGAAGAACUCAUUGUUCAGCCUCAUCGUUUGAUGACAGUGUGUGCGAGCGAGCGAGCGAGCGAGAGAGAAAGAGAGAGAGAGAGAGAGAGAGAGAGAGAGAGAGAGAGAGAGAGAGAGAGAGAGAGAGAGAGUUUUUCCCGUUAAGGUCAUAAAACGAUGUCCUCGAGAAAUCAAACCGGAAAGCUAUCAGUUCCCGGGGUUUACCAGCUUGAUUCUAAUCGCAUCUUUUUUCUGUUUACUGACCCACUUGAUGUUCUCCGGCAACUCGUCAUGCCUGCUACCACCUUUGCAUGGAUGGCGAUUCUGCUCACGAGAGAUCGACCCGAUCAUGUCUCUUCACUCCGAUGCCUUCCAUGGGUCCUGGUGAAGUCCCUCCCCCAAUCACGUAAAGAUCCUCCGGACAAGGCGACAGAUAGAUAGCAUGUGAAUCAAGAGACUAUCCACAUACCCCCCAAAUUUUAUUGAAUUCCCUUAUGUUUACGAUAGAUUAGAACAAUCCAGUAGUCUAUCCGGCCGCCGUUUCAGCUCGGAUCGUCGUCAGUCAGAUCAUCUUCUGGCGCCUCUAGUUCUUCCUCUCAGCCCUACUGUGGCCAGGACGUCUCACCUACGGAAGCUCAGAUUUGGGAGAACUGUUCUAUCCAUCGCCGAUAGAUCUCCCAGCUGGCUCGCGAGCAGGAGAAUAGGAAGGUCUUCAUCCAAGGUACGUAGCUCGAGGUUCUUAUUUUCCUUCUUUUUUCUCCUUGUUCCGGUGAACGAUUGUAAGUUUGUGCCUAACGUUGCAGCACUUAAGGAGCACCAGUAGAGAUACUGAAGCAACGAGGCCCUCUCUGAUCCAUCUAGCAUCCGUCUGCUGCUUGGAGGAACCGCCGAGGAACCAGAGGCCUGUCUUCUGUACAUGAGAAUCUUCUGUGGAGCGAGCUCGGAUUAUGAGCUUCGGGGAGCUCUGUUGUGGAAUCUUGAUGUAUAAUUCAUCCCCAUACAGUAUCUAGAGAGAGAAACUUCCGCAGGGCACGUGAACAGUUUCAUGCAGAAGAACAAAGGGAUUCACUGUUGACGCCGGGUGGUCAGCUACAGCCGGCCACGGCAUGCUCUAUAGAAACGGAGAAAUUUUUGGUGUCUUUCGUCGCCGGCGGCGGCUUGCUGCCUUAGGCUUGUGGACUGGUAACCAAGGGGGGAGGACGAUCUCCGCCUGAACACGCGACUUCCCCCGGUUUACAUGACUCAGAUCGCCGGCCGGCACGUCCAUAGCCGAUAGUCCCUAUUUCUCUAUCCAUAGAGAGCUUCUUCUUCUUGUUAUCAGCCCACUGAGAGGAUCAACUCUGUUUUCUCGAGCCAUUCAGGGGCAUUUCGCGUUUUUUUCUCGAGAUUUCUCCCCAUUUUUAACGCCGGAAACCCAUCGGAGUUCUUGGGAGAACCCUAGAAACUAGAGGAGAGGAGGCUUCUUUGGUAAAGGCUGGCCAGGGACGUGGCAGCCUCGAAAUAGAUCACCUCACAGGAAUGUGUUAGAUGACUCUCUCCCUCCCUCUCUCUCUCUCUCUCUCUCUCUCUCUCUCUCUCUCUCUCUCUCUCUCUCUCUCUCUCUCUCUCUCCCUCUCGCUUUCUCUAUCUAUGUUUUUGCAUGAAGAGUAGUAGGGUCGUGUACGUUCAGACUCCCAGAUUCAGGGGUAUUUACAGCGUAUUAGCCAGAAAAAUAUGGUUUUUACGCUAAAUAAUGCUACCUGCUGACAAUCCCUUCUUCGUUCAAUAAUAGUAGAUUUUCUUCAUGGUGCAG
rnacentral:lncRNA from 1 species